UUUGAUCCUGGCUCAGAUUGAACGCUGGCGGCAUGCUUUACACAUGCAAGUCGAACGGCAGCACGAAAGAGCUUGCUCUUUUGGUGGCGAGUGGCGAACGGGUGAGUAAUACAUUGGAACGUACCGAGUAAUGGGGGAUAACUGUCCGAAAGGAUGGCUAAUACCGCAUACGCUCUGAGGAGGAAAGCGGGGGACCUUCGGGCCUCGCGUUAUUCGAGCGGCCAAUGUCUGAUUAGCUAGUUGGUGGGGUAAAGGCCUACCAAGGCGACGAUCAGUAGUGGGUCUGAGAGGAUGAUCCGCCACACUGGGACUGAGACACGGCCCAGACUCCUACGGGAGGCAGCAGUGGGGAAUUUUGGACAAUGGGCGAAAGCCUGAUCCAGCCAUGCCGCGUGUCUGAAGAAGGCCUUCGGGUUGUAAAGGACUUUUGUCAGGGAAGAAAGGGU
rnacentral:rRNA from 1 species